CGCGGAACGUAAACCCCGAGGCCACCGCGCCGAUAGGCGGGAGACCCCGUCUCUGGCCACGCCUUGGGCGGAACCAGGUGCCAUGGUCCCCGCCCCCUAGAAGCUCCGCCCAUCCCCUCCCCGCGCAGAAUCUUCUCGAGGAGUCAGUGUCCUGCGGUCUGGGAGUUCUGUCUCCGCUGCUCUCGGGACAUGCUGGGUUUGGGGCUCGAGCACCGGGAGGCUGAGGGCCAGGUCCUUUGCAAGCCGAGGAGACCCUGCGAUGGGGAAACUGAGGCAAAUGACUUGUACAAGAGGCAGAAUCGGAACCUCAGUCUGGUCUGCCAUUCCUGAUGAGAGUCAAGGUGGGAGACCAGGUGUUUGUACUGGAGGGAGCAUUCAGUUGAAAUGGUUCACAUAUGCUCACACAGCAACACUCCCCGCCCCAAUUAUUUACCAACAGAGAAAUAAACAAUCGU